AUUAUUUCUCUUUAAAUUUUUGGGUCAUAUUGAGGUUUCGGAAAUAUUAUAGAAGGAUCGGUGCUCUUUAUUUGUAAGUCGUCAAAAGUAUUGUAAGGAUUUUGACUACAUCAUAAGUCAAUCAGAUUUAGUAAAAAAUCUUGCUUAUGGCUGAAAACUUGAUAACGAAAAAUGUAGAUCAUUGAUUGGGAUUGAAUCUCCACAAUUACAUCAUUUGCAUACUUUCUUUCCUUUUACUUAUUGCUUUCGUACUUGUAUAUUUUUGUUUGAUUGACUCAUUUAUUCUUAACUUGCUUAAAUUUGGAUUAAUCUUCGAAAAAGUUUUAAAAUUCAAUUCACCCCCUCUUGAUUAGCUAUUUUUGGGAUUUCAAUUUAAGGUUUAGAUGGCAACUAACUUAGCAUGAGAAUUACUAGCUACUAUGUGAGAGUUGCAACAAUCGUGAAAUAGGCCUGGAUCAUCUCCGAUUAUAAAAUAGUUUCACAAGAUGUACCCGCUCGUGUUUGAAAAUAACAUUGAUCCACUAGCUGCUAAAGAAUGGCUUCGCCAUCUUGAGCGUAUUUUCAUGUUUAUGGAAUGCACUAAAGCACAAGAAUUGUGCGGUAUUUAUGAUGGAGAAAUGAGUAGGUCAUUGGUGGGAGAUGACUACUAGAUCCCCCACUAAGGAGUAAUAGAGUAAUCUUACUUGGAAACAAUUCGAAGAGAUAGUGCUUCAAAAGUACUUUACAGCUACUUUAAGAGACUAGAAAGAAGCAUAGUUUCUGUGCUGUAACAAGAAAACAAGACACUCACUGAUUAUUAAUAAAAGUUCAAGGAGUUAUCCAGAUUUGUCCCACGUCCGGUGGACAUAGAGGAGAGAAAAGCUCGAUGUUUUGAGCUUGUGCUGAGAACUGAUAUUAGGAAAGUAGCGACAAUACUCCAAUUGGGUACUUAUCAGAGUUCUGGAGAAGGCUCAAGUGUAUGCCUUUGAUGAUGACCAGAUUGGUGAAAGUAGUAAAUAAUAGACAAGCUUCUUAGACAAGGGCAAAUGGUAUAGCAAUAUCAAGAGGAAUGGAAAAGGUCCCAACGAGAAGAGAAUGACAAAAAAUGGGUGCCUACAUUACUGACAAUAAUCAACGAUCACUCUGUCCCAAAUGUUAAAAAUCUCAUCGCGAAGAAUAAAUGGCAAGAAAAAGGUGUCUAUUAAAGAUGUGGCAAGCCAGGAAAUAUUGUUAAAGUUUGCACUAAGGGACAACCUAAAAAUGCUGAAGAUCAAAAGGUGGACAAGGCUAGAGAUUUUGCUUUAACCUAGGAAGUGGUCAAGCAAGACUGCAAUGUGGUGACAAGUAGCAUAUCAAUCUCUGAUAUGCCUGCUUUUAUAUUAAUUGAUUCAGGGGCUAUAUUUUUGUUUGUUUAUUCGAUAUUCGUUUCAAAGUUAAAUAUAAAAUGUGUAGCCCUUGAUAACAUAUUCGUUUUUUUACUAACAUUUGAGAAGAUGCUUAAUGCAAAUUUUAUAGCGAGAAACCUAAACUUAGAAAUGGAUGGGAAUAUUAUAAACAAAGACUUGGUGGUCCUAAACAUGAAAGAUUUUGACGUUAUACUUGAAUGGACUGGUUGUUCGUUGUUUUGAGAAGGAUGUAAUUUUUCAACGACCUGGUGAAGAAGAAGUUUAUUUUUUUAAGGAUGAAGCUCCUAUCUCGACUUAUACCAGUAGUACAGGCUGAAAAAUUGUUGAAAGAGAAAUCAGUUCAAGGGUCUUAAUAUCUUUAACCAGCAUUAAUCAAAAUGAGCUAACUAUAAACGAAGUUCGAGUAGACAAAGAUUUCUUAGAUGUGUUUCUAGAAAAUUUUUUAGGAAUGCCUCUAGACCAAGAGGUUGAGUUUACUAUUAACCUCGUACUGGGUGCUAAGGCUUCUUAUUGUAUGGCAUCGGUAGAACUUCAGGAAUUGGAAGUACAAUUGUAGGAGUUGCUAGACAAGGGUUUUAUUAGACCCAGUAACUUACCAUGGAGAGCCCUAAUAUUGUUCAUAAAGAAGAAAGAAGAAACAAUGAGAAUGUGCAUCGAUUAUCGAGAGCUAAGAGCCGUAUUACAAUUAAAAAUAAGUAUCACUUGAGAGCUAAGCAUUAUUACAAUUAAAAAUAAGUAUCACCUCCCUAGAAUUGAAGAUUUAUUUGACUAGCUACAAUGUGUCAAGGUCUUCUCGAAAAUUGAUUUACGGUCAGGCUAUCAUCAAUUGAAAAUUAAAGCAACUGACAUUUCUAAGACAGCAUUUAGAACUCGACAUAGGCACGAUGAGUUCUUGCUUAUGUCAUUUGGUUUAACUAGUGCACCAGCAAUCUUCAUGAAUAGAGUUUUUCACAACUAUCUGAAUCACUUUGUUAUUGUCUUCAUUGACGAUAUACUAAUAUGUUCCAAAAAGUGAGCAUUAGCAUACAAAACACUUAAGAAUUAUUCUCUAAAUAUUGAAGAAGGAGAAGCUCUUUACCAAAUUCAAAAAUUACGAAUUUUGGCUCAAUGGAGUGGGAUUUUUGGGCCACGUGAUCACAGCCUAAGGAAUAGAAGUUCACCCAGGUAAAGUCUAAGUAAUCACCAGUUUUUAUCGACCAACUAAUGUUAGAGAAACCCGUAACUUCCUAGGAUUAGCAGGUUAUAUGGAAGAUUCAUUGAAUUUCAAAGAUUGCAUCCUAAUGACUCAGCUAACAUGAACAAAUAUGAAGUUCAUUGAAUUUCAAAGCUGAGGUCAACAUUUAGUAUUUAAUUUAAAAUUAUUUUGCAAAUUGGAAUUUUGUUUUCAAAAUUGAUUUCAUUAGUGGAUUGAAUUUAUUUGACAUAUUAUGAGACAAUAAAGUAGCAUAUUUUAUUCCACAAAGUUCUUGAAAUUUUUUGUAUUGCAAUGUGUUAAUGAACUUUUAUAAUAGCUAAAGGAAUUAUUUAAGUAACUGUCGGGACAUAAGUUUUGGGGCUUUACAUGGUUCUUUGUAACAGUUGAAAUGAUGUGUUGUCUUCUUUGAGUGAUACGACACCUUAUGGCAGCAAAGUUGACACCUACAGUAUCCAAGUGUAGCAACAUGGAUGUGCCAUGGCGCUAAUGUAUGCUGCCUAUUGUGCCCAAAGUAGCAUAGACUGCCAACGGCACUUGAAGCACCAACAUGGGGAUGCAAUGGCACCAAUGGUCCACCUUGGGAAUGAGGUAGGGUGGGUGAGGUACAGUUGAUGAAUGUGGCAAUUUUUGUCAAGUAAUGAUAUCUUGGCACGAUUUCUAAUUUAGUCAUGAUUUAAUUGAAGAUCACAUUCUGAAUGAAAUACGUGAGCAAUAUGGAAUUUGUAAAUUACAUGGUGAAGCAAGAAGGUUUGUUGUCUUCCAAUUCAAGCAAGGUAGGGAUUUUUGAUGCAUGAACGAUGCAUUUGAUGAUAUACGCAUAUAGUGUUAGAUGAUUUACCAAGUAUUCAUGUUAUCUUGUGCUAAGUAACACUGACGUGAUACAUCAAGUGAUUUAUGAAUAAACUAAUGUUGAGUACCAAAAAUUAAAUUAAUUUUUUUGAAAUGACGUUAUCUAGCAUAAGUUUAGCAACAAUGCUUAUUAGAUCAAUUUUCUCUUCUAUAUUGCGAGAUUGAUGUGGGAUGCAAUGUUUUCAAUAUUGGUUUAGGACAUUCAUUGAUGUACUUUGAGGACAAUAUAGAAGAUUACAAAGAGCUCAUAAGGUUUAUGAUGCUGAACAAGGAGUAUAAUGACACAAAGUACGAAGAAGGUAUGCGAGAUAUAGAACUAAUAAUUUUUUCAAUGAGGCUACUCAG
rnacentral:lncRNA from 1 species